CAUGCAGUCGAACGAUGAAGCCCUUCGGGGUGGAUUAGUGGCGAACGGGUGAGUAACACGUGGGCAAUCUGCCCUUCACUCUGGGACAAGCCCUGGAAACGGGGUCUAAUACCGGAUAUGACCAUCUUGGGCAUCCUUGAUGGUGUAAAGCUCCGGCGGUGAAGGAUGAGCCCGCGGCCUAUCAGCUUGUUGGUGAGGUAAUGGCUCACCAAGGCGACGACGGGUAGCCGGCCUGAGAGGGCGACCGGCCACACUGGGACUGAGACACGGCCCAGACUCCUACGGGAGGCAGCAGUGGGGAAUAUUGCACAAUGGGCGAAAGCCUGAUGCAGCGACGCCGCGUGAGGGAUGACGGCCUUCGGGUUGUAAACCUCUUUCAGCAGGGAAGAAGCGAGAGUGACGGUACCUGCAGAAGAAGCGCCGGCUAACUACGUGCCAGCAGCCGCGGUAAUACGUAGGGCGCAAGCGUUGUCCGGAAUUAUUGGGCGUAAAGAGCUCGUAGGCGGCUUGUCACGUCGGGUGUGAAAGCCCGGGGCUUAACCCCGGGUCUGCAUUCGAUACGGGCUAGCUAGAGUGUGGUAGGGGAGAUCGGAAUUCCUGGUGUAGCGGUGAAAUGCGCAGAUAUCAGGAGGAACACCGGUGGCGAAGGCGGAUCUCUGGGCCAUUACUGACGCUGAGGAGCGAAAGCGUGGGGAGCGAACAGGAUUAGAUACCCUGGUAGUCCACGCCGUAAACGGUGGGAACUAGGUGUUGGCGACAUUCCACGUCGUCGGUGCCGCAGCUAACGCAUUAAGUUCCCCGCCUGGGGAGUACGGCCGCAAGGCUAAAACUCAAAGGAAUUUGACGGGGGCCCGCACAAGCAGCGGAGCAUGUGGCUUAAUUUCGACGCAACGC
rnacentral:rRNA from 1 species